GGCACCAUGGCUUAGAUGAAAAGCACUUGUUUUAUAAACAGGAGAUCCUGGGUUCAACUCCCAGUGGUGCCU